rnacentral:rRNA from 1 species
GACGAACGCUGGCGGCGUGCUUAACACAUGCAAGUCGAACGAUGAAGAAAAGAAUUGAAGCUUCGGCAGAAAUUCAUUUCGGAUUAGUGGCAGACGGGUGAGUAACGCGUGAGCAACCUACCUCUUACAAAGGGAUAGCCUCGGGAAACCGGGAUUAAUACCAUAUAACAUUGCGACGAAGCAUUUCGAUGCAAUCAAAGCUACGGCGGUAAGAGAUGGGCUCGCGUCCCAUUAACCAGAUGGUGAGGUAACGGCUCACCAUAGUAACGAUGGGUAACCGGCCUGAGAGGGUGAACGGUCACACUGGAACUGAGACACGGUCCAGACUCCUACGGGAGGAAGCAGUGGGGAAUAUUGCACAAUGGAGGGAACUCUGAUGCAGCGACGCCGCGUGAGUGAUGAAGGAAUUCGUUUCGUAAAACUCUGUUCUAUGGGAAGAAAAGGACUGUACCAUAGGAGAAAGCUCCGGCUAAAUACGUG